rnacentral:rRNA from 1 species
GACGAACGCUGGCGGCGUGCCUAACACAUGCAAGUCGAGCGAAUGAAGUUCCUUCGGGAACGGAUUUAGCGGCGGACGGGUGAGCAACACGUGGGCAACCUGCCUCAUAGAGGGGAAUAGCCUUCCGAAAGGGAGAUUAAUACCGCAUAAGAUUGUAGUACCGCAUGGUACAGCAAUUAAAGGAGCAAUCCGCUAUGAGAUGGGCCCGCGGCGCAUUAGCUAGUUGGUGAGGUAACGGCUCACCAAGGCGACGAUGCGUAGCCGACCUGAGAGGGUGAUCGGCCACAUUGGGACUGAGACACGGCCCAGACUCCUACGGGAGGCAGCAGUGGGGAAUAUUGCACAAUGGGGGAAACCCUGAUGCAGCAACGCCGCGUGAGUGAUGACGGCCUUCGGGUUGUAAAGCUCUGUCUUCAGGGACGAUAAUGACGGUACCUGAGGAGGAAGCCACGGCUAACUACGUGCCAGCCGCCGCCGUAAUAC